AACGAACGCUGGCGGCAGGCUUAACACAUGCAAGUCGAGCGCCCCGCAAGGGGAGCGGCAGACGGGUGAGUAACGCGUGGGAAUCUACCUUUUGCUACGGAAUAACGCAGGGAAACUUGUGCUAAUACCGUAUGUGCCCUUCGGGGGAAAGAUUUAUCGGCAAAGGAUGAGCCCGCGUUGGAUUAGCUAGUUGGUGGGGUAAAGGCCUACAAAGGCGACGAUCCAUAGCUGGUCGGAGAGGAUGAUCAGCCACAUUGGGACUGAGACACGGCCCAAACUCCUACGGGAGGCAGCAGUGGGGAAUAUUGGACAAUGGGCGCAAGCCUGAUCCAGCCAUGCCGCGUGAGUGAUGAAGGCCUUAGGGUUGUAAAGCUCUUUCACCGGUGAAGAUAAUGACGGUAACCGGAGAAGAAGCCCCGGCUAACUUCGUGCCAGCAGCCGCAGUAA
rnacentral:rRNA from 1 species